CAAGAAACGAGGCCGCGUGCGCUCGCCCGCCCGGCCCCAGCUCCUUACCAUUGCCUACUGCACCGUUUGUUGCUUCCUGGCGGCGGACUGCCCGCCGCCAGGGACGUUGAUACAACCCUGUAUAGAAGCAUUGAAGCUCUGAGAAAACGCGAAAUCGUA
rnacentral:misc_RNA from 1 species